AAAAAUUUAGUUAAUUAAUAACAUCAGCUUGUCAAGCUGAAAUAAUCUUAUAGAUAAUUUUUA
rnacentral:tRNA from 1 species